rnacentral:rRNA from 1 species
UACGUAGGGGGCAAGCGUUGUCCGGAAUCAUUGGGCGUAAAGAGCGCGUAGGCGGUCCGGUAAGUCGGUUGUGAAAACUGGGGGCUCAACCCUCAGAGGCCGACCGAUACUGUCGGGCUAGAGUCCGGAAGAGGCGAGUGGAAUUCCUGGUGUAGCGGUGGAAUGCGCAGAUAUCAGGAGGAACACCAAUAGCGAAGGCAGCUCGCUGGGACGUUACUGACACUAAGGCGCGAAAGCGUGGGGAGCGAACAGG